GGUGUGAUUGUGUAAUGUGUAUGGUGGUGGUGGGAUUGUGGAGAUGUUGGUGGUGAAAUUUGUGGUAGUGGGGUUGUGGAGAUGUUGGUGGUGAAAUUGAUGGUGGUGGGAUUGUAUACAUAGUUGGUGGUAGAGUGGUGUUAGUAAUGUGUGUUAUGGGUUGUGGAGGUGUUAGAGCUAGAGGUAAUUGGAGUUGGAGAUAGUGGUAGUGGGUGGUAGUAAUUAGGUUGAAGGUGGUGGUUGCACAAAGGAGGAAGAUGAAAGAAAAAUUUAAUCUUGACCUUUUAAUUUGAAUGGUUAAAAAUAUAUCUAGUGACAUGUUAAUUUGAAUGGUGGGGAUUAAUUUAACUAAUAGUGAGCU
rnacentral:lncRNA from 1 species